UAGGGGAUCUUCGGCAAUGGGGGCAACCCUGACCGAGCAACGCCGCGUGAGUGAAGAAGGUUUUCGGAUCGUAAAGCUCUGUUGUAAGUCAAGAACGGGUGUGAGAGUGGAAAGUUCACACUGUGACGGUAGCUUACCAGAAAGGGACGGCUAACUACGUGCCAGCAGCCGCGGUAAUACGUAGGUCCCGAGCGUUGUCCGGAUUUAUUGGGCGUAAAGCGAGCGCAGGCGGUUUGAUAAGUCUGAAGUUAAAGGCUGUGGCUCAACCAUAGUUCGCUUUGGAAACUGUCAAACUUGAGUGCAGAAGGGGAGAGUGGAAUUCCAUGUGUAGCGGUGAAAUGCGUAGAUAUAUGGAGGAACACCGGUGGCGAAAGCGGCUCUCUGGUCUGUAACUGACGCUGAGGCUCGAAAGCGUGGGGAGCGAACAGGAUUAGAUACCCUGGUAGUCCACGCCGUAAACGAUGANUGCUAGGUGUUGGAUCCUUUCCGGGAUUCAGUGCCGAAGCUAACGCAUUAAGCAC
rnacentral:rRNA from 1 species